rnacentral:rRNA from 1 species
UACGGGGGGAGCAAGCGUUAUCCGGAAUGAUUGGGCGUAAAGCGUCUGUAGGUGGUUUAGAAAGUCUGCUGUCAAAUCCCAAGGCUCAACCUUGGUUAGGCGUCAGAGUACUUCUAAGCUAGAGUAUGGUAGAGGUAGAGGGAACUCCUAGCGUAACAGUGAAAUGUGUUGAUUUUAGGAAGAACACCAGAGGCGAAGGCGCUCUACUGGGCCAUAACUGACACUGAGAGACGAAAGCUACCGGAGAGAAUAGGAUUAGAUACCCUAGUAUUGGUAGCCGUAAACGAUGGAAACUAAGUGUUGCCGAAAAGCAGUGCUGUAGCUAACGCGUUAAGUUUCCCGCCUGGGGAGUAUGCUCGCAAGAGUGAAACUCAAAGGUAUUGACGGGGAAUCGCACAAGCGGUGGAUUAUGUGGUUUAAUUUGAUGUUACACGAAGAACCUUACCAGCGUUUGACAUGUUCAGAAUUCUCCAGAGAUGGAGAAGUGCCAGAAAUGGAACUGAAACACAGGUGGUGCAUGGCUGUCGUCAGCUCGUGCGUUGACGUGUAUGGUUAAGUCCUGCAACGAGCGCAACCCUCGUCUUUAGUUGAUAUACUCUAGAGAGACUGCCAGUGUAAACUGGAGGAAGGUGAGGAUGAUGUCAAGUCAGCAUGCCCCUUACACGCUGGGCUACACACGUAAUACAAUGGUACGAGACAAUCAGAAGGUCGCCUGUCAAAGGUUAGAUAAUUUUCUAUUAAUGAACUGAAUCUGUUAAACUCUGCCCUAGUUCGGAUUGCUGGCUGCAACUCGCCUGCAUGAAGCUGGAAUCGCUAGUAAUCGCCGGUCAGCUAUACGGCGGUGAAUACGUUCUCGGUUCU